rnacentral:rRNA from 1 species
CCUACGGGGCGCAGCAGGCGCGAAACCUCCGCAAUGCGGGCAACCGCGACGGGGUUAGCCGGAGUGCCCGUGCAUCGCACGGGCUGUCGGGGUGCCUAAACAGCACCCCAUAGCAAGGGCCGGGCAAGGCCGGUGGCAGCCGCCGCGGUAAGACCGGCGGCCCGAGUGGCGGCCACUCUUAUUGGGCCUAAAGCGUCCGUAGCCGGCCCAGUAAGUCCCCCGGGAAAUCUGGUCGCUUAACGAUCAGACUUCCGGGGGAUACUGCUGGGCUAGGGACCGGGAGAGGCCGAGGGUAUUCCCGGGGUAGGGGUGAAAUCCUGUAAUCCCGGGAGGACCACCUGUGGCGAAGGCGCUCGGCUGGAACGGGUCCGACGGUGAGGGACGAAGGCCUGGGGAGCGAACCGGAUUAGAUACCCGGGUAGUCCAGGCUGUAAACGAUGCGGGCUAGGUGUCACCGGAGCUACGAGCUCCGGUGGUGCCGGAGGGAAGCCGUUAAGCCCGCCGCCUGGGAAGUACGGCCGCAAGGCUGAAACUUAAAGGAAUUGGCGGGGGAGCACUACAACGGGUGGAGCCUGCGGUUUAAUUGGAUUCAACGCCGGGAAGCUUACCGGGGGAGACAGCGGGAUGAAGGUCGGGCUGAAGACCUUACCAGACUAGCUGAGAGGUGGUGCAUGGCCGCCGUCAGUUCGUACUGUGAAGCAUCCUGUUAAGUCAGGCAACGAGCGAGACCCGCGCCCUCAGUUGCCAGCGGGUCCCUUCGGGGACGCCGGGCACACUGAGGGGACUGCCGGCGCUAAGCCGGAGGAAGGUGCGGGCAACGGCAGGUCCGUAUGCCCCGAAUCCCCCGGGCUACACGCGGGCUACAAUGGCCGGGACAAUGGGUACCGACCCCGAAAGGGGUGGGUAAUCUCCUAAACCCGGUCUAACCUGGGAUCGAGGGCUGCAACUCGCCCUCGUGAACCUGGAAUCCGUAGUAAUCGCGCCUCAAAAUGGCGCGGUGAAUACGUCCCUGCUCCUUGCACUCACCGCCCGUC